rnacentral:snoRNA from 1 species
ACCCUCAAGAUUUGUUACCCAUCAGAUAUUAGCAUUGGUCUGAGUGGCUAUAAAGGAGGAAAAGUAAAACUAAACAAAAACAUAG